GAUUUAAUAGUUUAAAAAAAAUAUCGGUCUUGUAAACCGAUGAUGAAUCUUUCUUAAAUCA
rnacentral:tRNA from 1 species